UAUAUAUAUAUAUAUAUAUAUAUUAUAAAAGAUGAGGGACGGAAAUCGGAAAUUCGCUGAGAAUCUGACUAUUAGGUUGAGUCUCUAAGUUCCAGGGGGCCGUCGUUGCCGCUGCCUUUGAGUGGGAGAUGGAACCUUUUCGAGCUACAGCUUUACGAGGUCUUGUGGGUCGUCAUGAUGCUUCACCUUCAUAGUGAUGAAUGCCUGUCACUUAAUCUCGAAGGAUUGGCUUUGUCGGAGUUUCGCUCGGAAGUCCAGGUCGAUCCUUAUGGCGGUCUUGAAACUUGGGAUCCUCUAGACAGCGACCCGUGCAAUUGGUCAGGCGUCCAUUGCAUUGACGGCAAGUGGUAGCUGACGCCUUGCCCUUCUAUGACACUAUCUGGAUCUUCCUCUGUAUACUCUUCAGUUUCUUUUAAAUAUUUCAACAAAGGAAACCUCCUAUUUCAUAGGAUCAGGUUCAAAAUGGGCUCCUCUGCACAUAGCCAUGGAGAGAAACAUGGCAUUACCUUAUCAACUGCAGGUUUCGGUGAGCAAUAUAUUAUGGAAAAUGUAUGGCACAUUGUAAAUUCUGUUCAUCGUAAGCUACUUCAGCAGGCUCACAAUCUCCCUGCUGCUGCAUUAAAAGGUGCCAUUCCUCAAGAAGCUGUUGAUGUUCCAUCUACUGGAAGUGGCAAGGACCUACUUGCAGCAUCUAUUCAUCAGAGAAAUGUACCUCCUGCUUGUAUUUCACCUCAUCCCAAAGGCACUCCUCCAAAAGAAAGCAAUACAGCGGACAAUGACUCCGCACUAAGUGGAAUAAUGAGAAAGCGGGCAUUUGUUCUUGUACUUCCAGGACUUGUUUUGCUUCUAUUACUGGAAGCAUUUUCAUGUGCCACAGCCAGGGAUGGAAAAAAAAAGGGCUCCUUGGAAGACCCUGACUAAGUGGUCAGUUGCAGAAAGCAUUCACUGCAGAAGCACUAACUUGCUGGCCAUGGAUUUCGGCCCACCGGCUGAGUACUUCAAUCUGCUAAUCAAGGACAACUUUGACCUGCCAACCAAAUAUAGCUUGGCUGGCUGAUAGAGUACAACGUCAGCCCACUGGUCGAGUACUUUAUCUUACUGAAGAAGCUCUCGGUCUAUAUUUUGGUACUUGAUCGAAGGUUGAUAUUCUCUUAGAACUUCUUAUUCAACCUGCAAAAAGUAUAUUUUUUUAAAAGACUUACUAUCAUUCAAUAUAUAUUGGAUGACUUUUCCAA